rnacentral:rRNA from 1 species
AACGAACGCUGGCGGCAGGCUUAACACAUGCAGGUCGAACGAUGUAGCAAUACAUAGUGGCGCACGGGUGAGUAACGCGUGGGAAUAUACCUUGUAGUGGGGAAUAACGUUGGGAAACUAACGCUAAUACCGCAUACGCCCGAGAGGGGAAAGAUUUAUCGCUAUAAGAUUAGCCCGCGUGAGAUUAGGUAGUUGGUGGGGUAAUGGCCUACCAAGCCUACGAUCUCUAGCUGGUCUGAGAGGAUGAUCAGCCACACUGGAACUGAGACACGGUCCAGACUCCUACGGGAGGCAGCAGUGGGGAAUAUUGGGCAAUGGAGGAAACUCUGACCCAGCCAUGCCGCGUGAAUGAUGAAGGCCUUAGGGUUGUAAAGUUCUUUCGCCGAUGAAGAUAAUGACGGUAGUCGGGGAAGAAGCCCCGGCUAACUUCGUGCCAGCAGCCGCCGUAA